CUGCUGGCGGGUGACAGGUGUGAUUUUAAGCUCACUCUUGAUUUUAACAUUUUAAUCUUUUUAACAUAUCUUUCUGGCUUCCGUGCUGUCUUAGGACUUCGGUGGCAGCUAUUUCCUCUUGUUCUAUCGCAAUUAUAAGAAACAUUACAUCUCCAAUGAUGCUGGGAUGGUUGUGCUUCAUGAUUGCGGCCCUGCAUGUUGGAAAUGUGCAAGCCAUGACACCCGGCAGCCAUUCUUCUUCAGAGUGUUGGACUAAGUGGUUUGACCGCGACAACCCUAGUGGGAAAGGAGACUUUGAGAUUCUGAGUAAGCUGCGCCGUGAACACCCAACAAGCAUCUGUCAAGUGCCACUCCAAAUUGACGUUGAGACGACCUCUGGAGGCAGUGUGUCUUCAACGAGCGAUAAGAUCCAUAUAUCGGACAUAACCACAGGAUUCAUCUGUAAAAAUGCACAACAGAAAAAAGGCUGGUGCUCUGAUUACCGUGUUCGAUUUAAGUGCCCCCUCAAGUUCUGCCCUCCAGUGAUUACAGAAUGUUGGACCCCGUGGUUCGAUCGAGACGACCCAUCUGGAGCUGGAGACUUUGAGACUCUUGCUCAUCUUUCCAAUAAAUAUAAGAAGCAGAUCUGUGAUCAUCCCAUUCACAUUGAGGUCCAAACAAGAUCUGGGGAAAGUCUGACUUCAACGGGGGAUGUGAUUUAUGCGGUGUAUCCCGCCUUCCGCCCGAAUGCAGCUGAGAGGCUCCAGCGACCCCAAAAGGGACAAGCGGUAGAAAAUGGAUGGAUAACCAGAACUGAGACAAUAGAGCUGAUUCUACCACUGGAUUUAUCUGUAAAAAUUCCAACCAGAAGAAAGGAAUGUGUUCGGAUUACCGUGUACGGUUCCUGUGUCCUCUUGAUCACUGCCACCCAAACGUGUGCUUCACCAAAUGGUUUAAUCGUGACCGUCCAAGUGGCAAAGGGGACUUUGAGAUCCUGAGCAAACUUUGGCCAAAGUAUUCAAAAGUCCUCUGCAAGCGGCCUAUCACCUUAGAAGUGGUCACUGCUAAGGCAGAAAAGCUAUUUGCCUUAAACGGACAGAUAGCUUACAGAUAUGACACGACCGAAGGCUUUAUCUGUCGCAACAAAGACCAACAUGGUGGAUCUUGCUAUGACUACAAAGUACGCUUUGGAUGCCCGUGCAAAUGAAAUGUCACAAACCUCCUGAACACUUUCUUAAGAAAUGUUUCUCUUUAAAA